GGACUACUAGGGUAUCUAAUCCUGUUUGCUCCCCGCGCUUUCGUGCCUCAGCGUCAGUUACAGUUUAGCGAGCUGCCUACGCAAUCGGUGUUCUGUGUCAUAUCUAAGCAUUUCACCGCUACAUGACACAUUCCGCCCACUUCAAAUGUACUCAAGACCAUCAGUAUCAAUGGCAAUUCUACAGUUAGGCUGCAGGAUUUCACCACUGACUUAAUAGUCCGCCUACGCACCCUUUAAACCCAAUAAAUCCGGAUAACGCUUGGGACCUUCGUAUUACCGCGGCUGCUGGCAC
rnacentral:rRNA from 2 species